UAUCGGCGGGAGAAAUUGACUCGACUUUGUAACGUCAGUCAGUCUUUUUCUCUCUCCUAUA
ncrna:Heliconius melpomene (postman butterfly) microRNA hme-mir-14 precursor